rnacentral:rRNA from 1 species
CAGCCGCCGCGGUAAAACAGAGGAUGCAAGCGUUAUCCGGAAUGAUUGGGCGUAAAGCGUCUGUAGGUGGCUUUUCAAGUCCGCCGUCAAAUCCCAGGGCUCAACCCUGGACAGGCGGUGGAAACUACCAAGCUGGAGUACGGUAGGGGCAGAGGGAAUUUCCGGUGGAGCGGUGAAAUGCGUAGAGAUGUGGAGGAACACCAGUGGCGAAGGCGACUCUCUGGUCUGUAACUGACGCUGAGGAGCGAAAGCGUGGGGAGCGAACAGGAUUAGAUACCCGAGUAGUCCCUGUCUCUUAUAC